rnacentral:rRNA from 1 species
AAACCCAAAGGACUUGACGGUACCCCACAUCCACCUAGAGGAGCCUGUUCUAUAAUCGAUAACCCCCGUUUAACCUCACCACUUUUAGCCAAUCAGCCUGUAUACCUCCGUCGUCAGCUUACCACGUGAGCGACACAUAAGUGAGCUUAAUGCCCAUUCGCCAACACGUCAGGUCAAGGUGCAGCAAAUAAAGUGGAAAGAAAUGGGCUACACUUUCUAACAUAGAAGAUACGAAAGACUUUAUGAAACCCUAGUCAGAAGGCGGAUUUAGUAGUAAAAGAGGAUCAGAGAGCCUCUUUUAACCCGGCACUGGGGUGUGUACACACCGCCCGUCACCCUCUUCAAAGCUCACAGACAGUUAUUAACUAAACCACUGCUACAUAGAAGAGGCAAGUCGUAACAUGGUAAGUAUACCGGAAGGUGUGCUUGGUAAA